GACGAACCGUGCGAACGUUGUUCGGAAUCACUGGGCUUAAAGGGCGCGUAGGCGGCUCGCGAGGUCGGGGGUGAAAUCCCGCAGCUUAACUGCGGAAGAGCCUUCGAUACCGGCGGGCUAGAGGAAGGUAGGGGUGCGCGGAACUUCUGGUGGAGCGGUGAAAUGCGUUGAUAUCAGAAGGAACGCCGGCGGCGAAAGCGGCGCACUGGACCUUUUCUGACGCUGAGGCGCGAAAGCCAGGGGAGCAAACGGG
rnacentral:rRNA from 1 species